GGGAAAAGAAAGAAAAGAGAGGAAGAUGGAGGUGUGGGAUGAAGAAGGGUGGUUUUAUUUUGUGUUAGUGUUAUGGAUGGUGGUGGUGGUUGGCGUUGGCAAGGCCGACGAGGAAGCACCAAAUAAUAUCGAAGAAACAGAGGAAGAGGGAAACAGAAAACAGAGAGUGUUAUAAUCCGUGUUUUCCGGCAAAACCUUAAGGUUUUUUUGGCGUUUGUUGUGACAACGUGCAAACAUGAGGAUGGGGAGACGAUUGUGAAGGCUUUUCAGCCAUUGAAGCUCUGAACUAAGCUGAUUUAAGCGGUUGUCGCAAAGAAAAACGCAAGGAAGAAGAAGAAGCGCGUGCACUACACGCAGGCGCGUGAGGGCCGCGACUGGGCGUGCGACUGGCGCGUGGGACAGACACACCGAGGAUGUGAGGGCGCGUGAAGCAUCAUUUCGGUUCCCGGUCUAAUUGGAAGCAAUUGUGUUUAAAUACCCUAUUAAAUGUACAAUCAAGAGAGAAAGGGAUUCGAAACCAGGUAAGUAGCGUAUCAACCUUUGAACUGGUUCUUAACUUGUUUUACAACAUGUGAGUAUGUUGUUUACCUGAUUAAGAGCUUAGUAUGUUAUG